UACAGAGGGGGCGAGCGUUGUUCGGAAUUACUGGGCGUAAAGGGCGCGUAGGCGGCCUGCUAUGUCGAACGUGAAAUCCCCGGGCUCAACCCGGGAACUGCGUCCGAAACUGGCAGGCUUGAAUCCGGGAGAGGGAUGUGGAAUUCCAGGUGUAGCGGUGAAAUGCGUAGAUAUCUGGAGGAACACCGGUGGCGAAGGCGGCAUCCUGGACCGGUAUUGACGCUGGGGCGCGAAAGCCAGGGGAGCAAACGGG
rnacentral:rRNA from 1 species